AAAUUGAAGAGUUUGAUCAUGGCUCAGAUUGAACGCUGGCGGCAGGCCUAACACAUGCAAGUCGAGCGGUAGCACAGAGAGCUUGCUCUCGGGUGACGAGCGGCGGACGGGUGAGUAAUGUCUGGGAAACUGCCUGAUGGAGGGGAUAACUACUGGAAACGGUAGCUAAUACCGCAUAAUGUCGCAAGACCAAAGUGGGGACCUUCGGGCCUCAUGCCAUCAGAUGUGCCCAGAUGGGAUUAGCUAGUAGGUGGGGUAACGGCUCACCUAGGCGACGAUCCCUAGCUGGUCUGAGAGGAUGACCAGCCACACUGGAACUGAGACACGGUCCAGACUCCUACGGGAGGCAGCAGUGGGGAAUAUUGCACAAUGGGCGCAAGCCUGAUGCAGCCAUGCCGCGUGUGUGAAGAAGGCCUUCGGGUUGUAAAGCACUUUCAGCGGGGAGGAAGGCGUUAAGGUUAAUAACCUUGGCGAUUGACGUUACCCGCAGAAGAAGCACCGGCUAACUCCGUGCCAGCAGCCGCGGUAAUACGGAGGGUGCAAGCGUUAAUCGGAAUUACUGGGCGUAAAGCGCACGCAGGCGGUCUGUCAAGUCGGAUGUGAAAUCCCCGGGCUCAACCUGGGAACUGCAUUCGAAACUGGCAGGCUAGAGUCUUGUAGAGGGGGUAGAAUUCCAGGUGUAGCGGUGAAAUGCGUAGAGAUCUGGAGGAAUACCGGUGGCGAAGGCGGCCCCUGGACAAAGACUGACGCUCAGGUGCGAAAGCGUGGGGAGCAAACAGGAUUAGAUACCCUGGUAGUCCACGCCGUAAACGAUGUCGAUUUGGAGGUUGUGCCCUUGAGGCGUGGCUUCCGGAGCUAACGCGUUAAAUCGACCGCCUGGGGAGUACGGCCGCAAGGUUAAAACUCAAAUGAAUUGACGGGGCCCGCACAAGCGGUGGAGCAUGUGGUUUAAUUCGAUGCAACGCGAAGAACCUUACCUGGUCUUGACAUCCACAGAACUUUCCAGAGAUGGAUUGGUGCCUUCGGGAACUGUGAGACAGGUGCUGCAUGGCUGUCGUCAGCUCGUGUUGUGAAAUGUUGGGUUAAGUCCCGCAACGAGCGCAACCCUUAUCCUUUGUUGCCAGCGGUCCGGCCGGGAACUCAAAGGAGACUGCCAGUGAUAAACUGGAGGAAGGUGGGGAUGACGUCAAGUCAUCAUGGCCCUUACGACCAGGGCUACACACGUGCUACAAUGGCAUAUACAAAGAGAAGCGACCUCGCGAGAGCAAGCGGACCUCAUAAAGUAUGUCGUAGUCCGGAUUGGAGUCUGCAACUCGACUCCAUGAAGUCGGAAUCGCUAGUAAUCGUAGAUCAGAAUGCUACGGUGAAUACGUUCCCGGGCCUUGUACACACCGCCCGUCACACCAUGGGAGUGGGUUGCAAAAGAAGUAGGUAGCUUAACCUUCGGGAGGGCGCUUACCACUUUGUGAUUCAUGACUGGGGUGAAGUCGUAACAAGGUAACCGUAGGGGAACCUGCGGUUGGAUCACCUCCUUA
rnacentral:rRNA from 1 species